rnacentral:lncRNA from 1 species
GAUCUCUUUGUCUUGACAGAAGUGAUUAGAAAUAGUCACCUUAUUCAACGCCUUGCCAUGCUUCACCAAGUACAUUGCAACUUCCAUGUCAUCUGGACACCCCUGAAAAUCCCAUAGGCAAAUAGUCUUGAGGUGUGAAAUCAAACAAACAGGCACAGACUCUGGUUCGUCCCAUCCAGGUUCAAGCUCACCCUCAUCGACAUUGGCAUACAUCUGUUUCCUAUUCCGUGAUAUCUUCAGAUGCACCAAAUGUGGAGAUAUUUUGAGCACAGUUGCCAGUGAUUGCAGACUUCGACAAGUAUGAAGCUGUAGUUCCAAGUAGUUCAAAUUAUUAAACAUAGGCAGAAGAUGUUGAUGUCCAACGUCAAGGGCCUAUAGAUAUGAUGAAGUAAAUAGGUCAGUCAACAAUAGCAAAACCAAACAGUUCCUUGUCAUCAUCAGGUCACAUUCAUUUGAGAAAUUCCAGCACAUAGACAAAAAGGGUGUCAAACACUGCAUGAACAAGUAGCAUACUUACCGUCAGAAGUGGAGUAUUAACUGUCAGGUACUUAGCAUCACAAAUUCCAGCGAAAAUCUGACGUAUGCGAUCAGCUAGGCCAAGGAAACGAUCAUGCUUCUUAAGCUCUUGCACACAAAAGAAUCCUAUAUUCGCUUUGUGUAGACAUUUGGCGUUCUUCAAAGAAAAGCUCACCAGAGCAUCAAAGCAGAUAUCUAUCUCUUCAAGAUUUGGAGCAUCAACAUUAACGAAAAUUUGGCAUACAAAGUCAUUAGCAGCAAAAUUCAUACCAUACUUACGGACAUUUAGCUCAAUUUGUAGUCUCUUCAGUUUGGGUGCAGAUAUGUCAAGAUUGAAAGCUGUUGUGUAUAUAAGCUCUCCAUCUAUAAUCAGCUCUUCAAGCACAGGUAAACGAGAAAAGAGCUUCUCCAUUGAGUCAGAAUCAGGACAACGAACUGUAACAUGAAGGAACUUGAGGCUCGGGAAACAAUUUGAACUAGUAGGAGUCAUGACCCUAAUAUUUUCAUGCAGCCACAACUUGAAAUGGACCAAUGUGCUGCACAUGAAAAGGCUUUUGGGGAUCUCAAAACAUGGGUCUGAAAGUGUGCUGACAGUAAGAUCAAGCUCCACAACAUUACGCCUAAUGGCAGUGGAAAUCCAAGCAUAAACAAGAGAAACAUCAUCCAUCCCCUUAGUGAAAAGACGGAACCUAUGAAUGUCUCCCGAGCAACGAAACAAAAGCACACGAGUCACAAACUGUGCAAACCAAUCCGGGUUAUCUUCGGGAUAUAUAUGCGUAUCAUGUUCUUCCUCAUCUAAAUCUAGAACGGGAACAGAAGCCCACACAUUCUUCCAUCUAUGAGACAAAACACUGGUCUGUACAGCCUCUCUGGUGAAAAGGAAGGAGAGAAUGUGGCAAAGAACUGCAUCUGGCAUCCCACUGAUCCUAUCUUCAGUUCUUCCUUUGUGAUGCACUAAACUUGAAGCCAUUUAUGAUGUGAACUUCUCUGGCAAAAACCCAAAUACAACAAUGUGAAUUCUGUGGCAUAAACUGAGAAAAGUUAUGAUCUUUGGAUGAUCACCCCCACCAUCAAACUGGAGACAUUGAUUUUCACUCCUAGGAAACAAUUUAACACGAAUUCCUCAGAAAAUCUAUCACCAUUGUAAAGAACAUAACUUUCUUCUUAGAAUUUGUAUUUCUUUGUCAGAAUUUUUCUAAAAGUUGAUUACUUUAACACAAACUCAUAAGAAUUAAAGUUCAUGAAUCCUAGAUGUACAAACGAGUAAAGAACUCAGAAACAUAGAGCAAGUACCUGAAGUAGUGGACCCAGUUCUCGCUUCAGUGCUCUGAACUGGUUUGCCGUGUUUGGUUGCUCAGAAACAAAGACAUACAAAGCAACAACAACAAACUUCAGUUGUUUGUGAUAACUGACUCUUGAGAUUAUGAUUCCUCGUUCUGCUUAUUACUCGGGUCUUUUUUAUGGUUUUAAGUGGUGGACCCGUAGCCCGUAGAAGCCCAUUACGGCCCAGAUCGACAUUGCCAAUAACAAGCUAUGUUCAUAAUCUCAAUCCAUCUAGGUUCCUGCUGCAAGGGUUUGUGGUGUGAUUUUUCGAGGUUGCAUAUAUGAUCGAUUUUCUCAUACUCAGUAUUCUCCUCUCUUUUAGUUCUUGUUCCUAACGAAAAACAGAGGACUAACAAAAGAGUUAAGGUAGAAAAGAUUUCGAAAACAGAAGUACCUGAAUGGUUAUGACGUAUGAGAAGUGGAGCUAAUUGGUUAAAUAAGUAGGAGCAGCCAGGGCUGAGACGGACAGAAGAAAAUAAACCACAAAAGGAAAUAGAAGAUAGCAAUACUUAAAAAUAGACAUGCACAUAAAUAAACUCAUGUUCCAUCCCAGAGAAACAUCCAUUGAAAAUGAUCGUCUUUAACCCCUUGGGAACUGACAAGUUAGAAAUCAGGAAGACCGAAAUUAAAACACUUGACAAUCUGUAUCAAAUGAUUGUCUGAAAUUCAAUCUCACAUGUCUUGGAACCCCUUGGAAACUUUGAAACAUUCGACCAUAAGGCAGUAGCAGACUGUGACUUCAUCUCUUUGUUUUCACAAAAGGGAGUAUGAAUAGUCACCCUAUUCAAAGCCUUGCCAUGCUGCACCAAGUACUUGGCGACUUCCAUGUCAUCUGGACACCCCUUGAAAUCCCAUAGGCAAAUAGUCUUGAGGUGUGAAAUCAAACAAACAGGCACCGUCUCUGGUGCAUCCCAUUCCGGUUCAACCUCAUCCUCAUCGACAUCAUCAGAAUAGUUAUUCUCCUAGAAAUGAGUUAAAAUGAAAUCUUUCUAAAUUACACAGGUAUCAUGUAAGGGUAGUUCCGGAUAUACUUACAUUGGCAUACAUAUGUUUCCUUUUCAGUAAUAUCUUCAGUUGCUCCAAAUGUGGUGAUAUCUUGAGCACAGUUGCCAGCGAUUGCAAACAUCGACAAGUAUGAAGCUGUAGCUCCAAGUAGUUCAAAUUAUUAAACGUAGGCAGAAGAUAUUGAUGUCCAAUGUCAAGGGCCUAUAGAUAUGAUGAACUAAACAGGUCAGUCAACAAAUAGCAAAACUAAACACAUCCUUGUCAUAACGUUGAUGUAGAUUCAUAUAGUUAACAUUCUAUGGGAAGUUCCAGCACAUGGAGGAAAAAAGCUAUUAACCACCACAAGAAAAGUAGCAUACUUACCGCCAACAAUGGAGCUUUUACUGUCAGGUACUUAGCAUCAUAGAUUCCUGCAAAAAUCUGAUGUAUGCGAUCAGCAAGGCCAAGGAAAUAAUCAUGCUUUUUCAGCUCUUCCACAUAAAAGAAAUCUAUCUUGGCUUUGCGUAGACAUUUGGCAUUCUUCAAAGAAAAGCUCACCAGAGGAUCAAAGCAGAUAUCUAACUCUUCAAGAUUUGGAGCAUCAACAUUAACGAAAAUUUGGCACACAUAAUUUACAAAGUUAGCAAAAUGCAUAUCAUGCUUAAAGACUCUGAGCUCAGUUUGUAGUCUCUUUAGUUUGGGUGCAGAUAUAUCAAGAUUGGAAGUUGUUGACUCUACAAAGUUUCCAUCUAUAAUCAGCUCUUCAAGCACAGGUAAACGAGAAAAGAGCUUCUCCAUUGAGUCAGAAUCAGGAAAAUGAACUGUAACAUGAAGGAACUUGAGGCUCGGGAAACAAUUUGAACUAGUAGGAAUCAUGACCCUAAUACCUCUAUGCAGCCACAACUUGAAACGGACCAAUGUGCUACACAUGAAAAGGCUUUUGGGGAUCUCAAAAGGUGGCACUGUACUUCUUUGGACAGUAAGAUCAAACUCCACAACAUUACGCCUAAUGGCAGUGGAAAUCCAAGCAUAGAUAAGAGAAACAUCAUCCAUACCAUUAGUGGAAAGACGGAACCUAUGAAUGUCUCCCGAGCAACGAAACAUAAGCACACGAUUCACAAACUGUGCAAAACAAUCCUCCGGGUUAUAUAAUGGCUGAUUCAUAUCCGCAUCAUAUUCUUCCUCAUCUAAAUCUAGAACAGGAACAGAAGCCCAGACAUUCUUCCAUCUAUGAGAUAAAACACUGGUCUUUACAGCCUCUGUGGUGAAAAGGGAGGAGAGAAUGUGGCAAAGAACUGCAUCUGGCAUCCCACUGAUCCUAUCUUCAAUUCUUACUUUGUGAUGCAUUAAAUUUGAAGCCAUCAAUGUGAAUUCUGUGGCUUAACUUGUAAAAAGUUAUGAUCUUUGGAUGACUAUCCUCACCAUCAAACUGGAGACAUUAAUUUUCACUCCUAUGAAACAAUUCAACACAAAUUCCUCAGGAAAUCUAUCACCAUAUUGUAAAGGGCAUAACUUUCUUCUCAGAAUUUGUAUCUUUGUCAGAAUAUUUCUAAAAGUUUAUUACUUUAACACAAACUCAUAAGAAUUAAAGUUCAUGAAUCCUAGAUAUACAAACGAGUAAAGAACUCAGAAACAAAGAGCAAGUACCUGAAAUAGUGGACCCAUUUCUCGCUUCAGUGAUCUGAAGUCUGAACCGGUUUACCGUAUUUGGUUGCUUAGAAACGAAGAAAUACAAAGGACGAAGGUGUGUGAUAACUGAGACUGAGGUUAUGGAGAAUCGUUUCAAAAAAUAAAAAUAAAAAAAGGUAAGGAGAAUUGGGCUAGGCGGAGACUUAGGCUGGCUAGGCGGAACCUAGUUGGACUGUGCCUGCGCCAGUUGGUUGGUCCACUUUAAAGGGGGAAAAAAACAAACUGAGGGACUAUCUCUUCCUGUGAGAAAGCAAUGUCAUUGCUUACAAUUUGCAUUCUUUAUAGGAUAGCUCACCAAGAAAUCGAACCUCAUCAGUUCAUAAUUUACAGAACUAUUAGCAGCACAUCUGAUUUUGAUGCAGAGAUUUCUCUAAGCAGAAUCGUUCCGACGUCCCCAAGCUUUCCUUCCUAUCUAUAAUAGUGCACGUUUGCAUUACACCUCAAUUUUCAACACUGUACUAGACUCAUGUAGACUGCCUUAAUUUAUACUAAUACUGAGCCAUGUUUAGUGGUGCACUGGACUAAUUUUCAACUUCAUGAUAAUUUCUUGUAUCAAUCUCUUCAUGCUUCCUAUUUAUCAACCAGGAAAUAAUCGUUGUAAUUCGCAGAAAACCAAGAGCCUUGAGAGAUAAAGAAAUUGAUGAGGAGGAGGAAGAUCAGAAGAGCUGAAAUCAAUCUUAUCUUGGGAGAGCAAGUGAGAGAGGAAGGAGGAGAGAGAUGGUGUUGGCAAGGGGUGUCAGAAUGGAGUACCCACGCUAAGACCCCUAAGGAGGACAAAUGAAAACACAGGUCCAACUUAAGCCCAUUUAUUUUAGUACCUAUUGACACCAAACAAAGGAUUAGCCAACUUGGACUCCUUAUUUAACACAGUCCUAGUUAGUACUAGGAAACAAACAUGCACAGAGUCCUCAAGUACAUGAAACAACUGUGAUCCAAGUGAAAACAGUCCCAGACUUUCAUCUGAAGCUGAGCAAACAUAUUAAGUCACACAUUACGCAAAGCAACUAUGGAAACUCCUCAGAGAUUACGUCGUAAAAUACCAUCACUUAAUAAGUAGGUGCAGCAGGGCUGAGAUGGAUGGAACAAAAAAAACCAUAAAAGAAAAAAAAGAAGACAGCAAUACUCAAAAACAGACGUACACAUAAAUAAACUCACGUUCCAUUCCCAGAGAAAUAUCCAUUGAAAANNNNNNNNNNNNNNNNNNNNAAAAAANAAAAAAAAAAAAAAAAACCCGGGGAAACUCGGGAAGUUAGAGAUCAAAAAGGCAGAAAUGAAAACACUUGCUUAGUUAAAUGUACAAAAGUGCAUAUGAGGUUAUAUUCCCAAAGAAGAAUCAAACCAUUGUCUCAAACUGAAUCUUACAAGUCUCGGAACCCCUGGGGAAGUUUGAAAAUUUUGACCAUAAGGCAAUAGUAGACCGUAGCUCCAUCUCUUCGUUACUGAAGUGAUUAUAAAUAGUCACCUUAUUCAAAGCCUUGCCAUGCUUCACCAAGUACAUUGCAACUUCCAUGUCAUCUGGACACCCCUGAAAAUCCCAUAGGCAAAUAGUCUUGAGGUGUGAAAUCAAACAAACAGGCACAGACUCUGGUGCAUCCCAUCCGUGUUCAAGCUCGACAUCAUCACAGUAGCUUUUCU